CCACAUUGACUUAGGAAAUACUUCAAUCCAUCCUCCUUCUCAAUGUUUUACAAUCGAUGUUCUUCUCCAGCUCAAAGCCACAUUGACUUAGGAAAUACUUCAAUCCAUCAUCCUUCUCAGUCUUGUAAAAUCGAUGUUCUUGUCCUCCUCAAAGCAAAAUAGACUUAAGAAAUACCUCAAUCCAUCUUCCUUCUCAGUCUUUUACAAUCAAUGUUCUUCUCC
rnacentral:lncRNA from 1 species